rnacentral:rRNA from 1 species
UGGUCAAGUUAUUAAGGGUGCAGGGCGGAUGCCUUGGCACUAGGAGCCGAUGAAGGACGUGAUAAGCUGCGAUAAGCUUCGGGAGUUGCACGUAAACUUUGAUCCGAAGAUUUCCGAAUGAGGAAACUCACUUAGAGUAAUGUCUAAGUAUCAUUAAGUGAAUACAUAGCUUAAUGAGGGGAACUCAGGGAACUGAAACAUCUAAGUACCUGAAGGAAGAGAAAGAAAUUCGAUUCCGUAAGUAGCGGCGAGCGAACGCGGAUUAGCCCAAACCAAUAAAGUUUUCUUUAUUGGGGUUGCGGACAUAUCAUAACGAAGAGGUAUCGUAAUUGAAGAGGUUUGGAAAGACCCACCACAGAAGGUAAUAGUCCUGUAUGUUAAACGAGAAGACUUUAGAUAUGAUCCAGAGUACCACGGGACACGUGAAACCCUGUGGGAAGCAGGAGGGACCACCCUCCAAGGCUAAAUACUACCUAGUGACCGAUAGCGUAUAGUACCGUGAGGGAAAGGUGAAAAGAACCCCGGGAGGGGAGUGAAAUAGAACCUGAAACCCUGCACUUACAAGCUGUGGAAGCACAUUUCUUGUGUGACCGCGUACUUUUUGUAGAACGGGCCAACGAGUUACGUUAAGUAGCAAGGUUAAGCACUUAAGGUGCGGAGCCGUAGCGAAAGCGAGUUUUAACUGAGCGUUCAGUUACUUGACGUAGACCCGAAACCGGGCGACCUACCCAUGAGCAGGAUGAAGCGAAAGUAAAAUUUCGUGGAGGUCCGAACCCACGAGCGUUGAAAAGCUCGGGGAUGACUUGUGGGUAGCGGUGAAAUUCCAAUCGAGCCCGGAGAUAGCUGGUUCUCCCCGAAAUAGCUUUAGGGCUAGCCUCAAGGUGAGAGAUACGGAGGUAGAGCACUGAAUGUCCUAGGGGGUAUUGCACCUACCGAAGACUAUCAAACUCCGAAUGCCGUCAUCUUAUACUUGGGAGUCAGACUGUGGGUGAUAAGAUUCAUAGUCGAAAGGGCAACAGCCCAGAUCGUCAGCUAAGGUCCCUAAAUGUAAGUUAAGUGGUAAAGGAUGUGGGAUUGCACAGACAACCAGGAUGUUGGCUUAGAAGCAGCCACUCAUUCAAAGAGUGCGUAAUAGCUCACUGGUCGAGUGAUCCUGCGCCGAAGAUUUCCGGGGCUAAAACUUACUACCGAAGCUACGGCAUCAGUAAUGAUGGGUAGGGGAGCUUCCCAUACGGGUUGAAGCAUGACCGUAAGGACAUGUGGACAGUAUGGGUGAGAAUGUUGGCAUGAGUAGCGAGAUGUGGGUGAGAAUCCCACAGGCCGUAAACCCAAGGUUUCCAGGGGAAGGUUCGUCCGCCCUGGGUUAGUCGGGACCUAAGCUGAGGCCGAAAGGCGUAGGUGAUGGACAACAGGUUGAUAUUCCUGUACUACCGAUAACCGUUUGAGAGAAGGGAUGACACAGUAGGAUAAGCUAAGCACACUGUUGGUUAUGUGUGCCCAAGCAUUGAGGCAGUCAAAGCAGGCAAAUCCGCUUUGAUAAUGCUGGGAUGUGAUGGGGAGCGAAAUUUAGUAGCGAAGUAGCUGAUUUCACACUGUCAAGAAAAGUCUCUAUCGAGGUUAAAGGUACCCGUACCGCAAACCGACACAGGUGGGUGAGGAGAGUAUCCUAAGGCCAGCGAGAGAACUGUUGUUAAGGAACUCGGCAAAAUGACCCCGUAACUUAGGGAUAAGGGGUGCCACCAUCCGGUGGCCGCAGAGAAUAGGCCCAAGCGACUGUUUACCAAAAACAUAGGUUUCUGCUAAGUCGCAAGACGAUGUAUAGGAGCUGACGCCUGCCCGGUGCUGGAAGGUUAAGGGGAUCUGUUAGAGCAAUCGAAGCAGUGAACUUAAGCCCAGUAAACGGCGGCCGUAACUAUAACGGUCCUAAGGUAGCGAAAUUCCUUGUCGGGUAAGUUCCGACCCGCACGAAAGGCGUAACGAUUUGGGCACUGUCUCAACAACAGACUCGGUGAAAUUGUAAUUCCGGUGAAGAUGCCGAUACCUGCGACAGGACGGAAAGACCCCAUGGAGCUUUACUGUAGCUUGACAUUGGGUCUUGGUACUACAUGUACAGGAUAGGUGGGAGGCUUUGAAACCAGGACGCCAGUUUUGGCGGAGCCAUCCUUGGGAUACCACCCUUGUAGUACUGGGACUCUAACCAUAGGCCAUGAAUCUGGUCUUGGGACACUGUCAGGUGGGCAGUUUGACUGGGGCGGUCGCCUCCCAAAAGGUAACGGAGGCGCUC